GUCUUUUUGAGUUUAAUAUAAAGUCUGAUCUGCCCCCUGAUUUAUUAAAUGGCCGCAGUAUAUUAACUGUGCAAAGGUAGCAUAAUCAUUAGUUUUUUAAUUGGAGACUUGUAUGAAUGAUUGGACGAGAUAUAAACUGUUUCAAUUAAAUAAAUAGAAUUUUAUUUUUUAGUUAAAAAGCUAAAAUUUUAUUAAAAGACGAGAAGACCCUAUAGAUCUUUAUAUUAAANUGGCUAUUAGUUUAUAGGAUUUAUUUUGCAAUAGUUAUUUUAUUAUUUUAUUGGGGUGAUAUUGAAAUUUGAAAAACUUUUGAAUAAAAGUUCCAUUAAUUUAUGAUUAAAUGAUCCAUUUUUAGUGAUUAAAAAUUUAAGUUACCUUAGGGAUAACAGCGUAAUUAUUUUGGAGAGUUCUUAUCGAUAAAAUAGUUUGCGACCUCGAUGUUGGAUUAAGAUUAAUUCUGGGCGUAGCAGUUUAGAAUAUUAAGUCUGUUCGACUUUUAAUUUCUU
rnacentral:rRNA from 1 species